rnacentral:rRNA from 1 species
GCUUGUCUCAAAGAUUAAGCCAUGCAUGUCUAAGUAUAAGCCUUUACACGGUGAGACUGCGAAUGGCUCAUUAAAUCAGAAACUGUUUAUUUGAUAGUGCCUACUACUUGGAUAACCGUAGUAAUUCUAGAGCUAAUACAUGCAAAAAGCCUGGACUUCUGGAACAGGCGUAUUUAUUAGAUAUACAAACCAACCGCUUCGGCGACCUUGGGUGACUCAUAAUAACUUCGCGAAUCGUAUGCUUCGGCGACGAUGAUUCAUUCAAGUUUCUGCCCUAUCAGCUUUCGAUGGUAGUGUAUUGGACUACCAUGGCAGUAACGGGUAACGAAGAAUUAGGGUUCGAUUUCGGAGAGGGAGAAACGGCUACCACAUCUAAGGAAGGCAGCAGG